CCUACGGGUGGCAGCAGUGAGGAAUAUUGGUCAAUGGACGAGAGUCUGAACCAGCCAAGUAGCGUGAAGGAUGACUGCCCUAUGGGUUGUAAACUUCUUUUAUAUGGGAAUAAAACGUUCCACGUGUGGGAUUUUGUAUGUACCAUAUGAAUAAGGAUCGGCUAACUCCGUGCCAGCAGCCGCGGUAAUACGGAGGAUCCGAGCGUUAUCCGGAUUUAUUGGGUUUAAAGGGAGCGUAGGUGGAUUGUUAAGUCAGUUGUGAAAGUUUGCGGCUCAACCGUAAAAUUGCAGUUGAUACUGGCAGUCUUGAGUACAGUAGAGGUAGGCGGAAUUCGUGGUGUAGCGGUGAAAUGCUUAGAUAUCACGAAGAACUCCGAUUGCGAAGGCAGUUCACUGGACUGCAACUGACACUGAGGCUCGAAAGUGUGGGUAUCAAACAGGAUUAGAUACCCUAGUAGUC
rnacentral:rRNA from 1 species